GGGAAAUUAGUUAAACAAUAACGUAAGCAUGUCAAGCUUAAAUUACUGAUGUAGUAUUUCCUU
rnacentral:tRNA from 1 species